GACGAACGCUGGCGGCGUGCCUAAUACAUGCAAGUCGAGCGCAGGAAGCCGUCUGAACCCUUCGGGGGGACGACGGUGGAAUGAGCGGCGGACGGGUGAGUAACACGUAAAGAACCUGCCCAUAGGUCAGGGAUAACCACGAGAAAUCGGGGCUAAUACCGGAUGUGUCAUCGGACCGCAUGGUCCGCUGAUGAAAGGCGCUUCGGCGUCGCCCAUGGAUGGCUUUGCGGUGCAUUAGCUAGUUGGUGGGGUAACGGCCCACCAAGGCGACGAUGCAUAGCCGACCUGGGAGGGUGAUCGGCCACACUGGGACUGAGACCAGUCCCAGACUCCUACGGGAGGCAGCAGUAGGGAAUCUUCCACAAUGGACGAAAGUCUGAUGGAGCAACGCCGCGUGAACGAUGAAGGCUUUCGGGUCGUAAAGUUCUGUUGUAAGGGAAGAACAAGUGCCGCAGGCAAUGGCGGCACCUUGACGGUACCUUGCGAGAAAGCCACGGCUAACUACGUGCCAGCAGCCGCCGUAA
rnacentral:rRNA from 1 species